rnacentral:rRNA from 1 species
GAUUAAGCCAUGCAUGUCUAAGAUCGCUCGGAACCCGCAAGGGUUUAUCGGUAAUCUGCGAAAGGCUCAUUAUAACAGUUACAAACUUAGCCACUAGUUUAUCUUACAAGGAUAACACAGCCAACUGCAGCGAUAAUACUUGCUCAAAAGCCAAUGAAUUGUAUAAUUGGUGAGCAAUAGCAUUAAAGGAACGUAUGCUAUUUACCUCGAAAGAGGUGUUGACCGCAGCAAUGUGGCCUAGAGGAAGUAUUUCUUCCUUAUCAGUUAGUUGUUUCAGUAAGGGUGAAACAAGACACUUACGGGUACGGGGAAUCAGUGUUCGAUUCCGGAGAGGGAGCCUGAGAAAUGGCUACUACAUCUAAGGAGGGCAGCAGGCGCGAAAAUUACCCAAUCCUAACAAUUUUGGGAGGUAGUGACAAGAAAUAACGACCUCACACGCAGACUCUGUCGGUGGGAGGGUACUUCGGUUUGCAAUGGUCCUAGUUUAAAUCUCUAGGAGAGUAUCGAUUGGAGGGCAAGUCUGGUA